UUCUUUUUCCACCGGAGCUUGCUCCACCGGAAAAAGAAGAGUGGCGAACGGGUGAGUAACACGUGGGUAACCUGCCCAUCAGAAGGGGAUAACACUUGGAAACAGGUGCUAAUACCGUAUAACAAUCGAAACCGCAUGGUUUUGAUUUGAAAGGCGCUUUCGGGUGUCGCUGAUGGAUGGACCCGCGGUGCAUUAGCUAGUUGGUGAGGUAACGGCUCACCAAGGCCACGAUGCAUAGCCGACCUGAGAGGGUGAUCGGCCACAUUGGGACUGAGACACGGCCCAAACUCCUACGGGAGGCAGCAGUAGGGAAUCUUCGGCAAUGGACGAAAGUCUGACCGAGCAACGCCGCGUGAGUGAAGAAGGUUUUCGGAUCGUAAAACUCUGUUGUUAGAGAAGAACAAGGAUGAGAGUAACUGUUCAUCCCUUGACGGUAUCUAACCAGAAAGCCACGGCUAACUACGUGCCAGCAGCCGCGGUAAUACGUAGGUGGCAAGCGUUGUCCGGAUUUAUUGGGCGUAAAGCGAGCGCAGGCGGUUUCUUAAGUCUGAUGUGAAAGCCCCCGGCUCAACCGGGGAGGGUCAUUGGAAACUGGGAGACUUGAGUGCAGAAGAGGAGAGUGGAAUUCCAUGUGUAGCGGUGAAAUGCGUAGAUAUAUGGAGGAACACCAGUGGCGAAGGCGGCUCUCUGGUCUGUAACUGACGCUGAGGCUCGAAAGCGUGGGGAGCAAACAGGAUUAGAUACCCUGGUAGUCCACGCCGUAAACGAUGAGUGCUAAGUGUUGGAGGGUUUCCGCCCUUCAGUGCUGCAGCUAACGCAUUAAGCACUCCGCCUGGGGAGUAC
rnacentral:rRNA from 1 species